UCCCCAGCUGUUGCUGGACUACAAUUCCCAUCAUCCCUGACCACUGGUCAAAGGGAUGAUGGGAGCUGUAAUCUAAAAACAGCUGGAGA